CACCCACCACGAAGAGAUGGAGAAACUCAUCUCCAAUCUCCUAUGCCCAUUACCUAUUCAAUUUCCUAUUUUUCUUACUCACACUCCGCUACACCACCUAGUCCUGUUCUAUUCUCUACAAACUUAUUCACUUUCGCCUUCACCCUCUCGUGGCGCGACAAUUCGCUCUGCCUCGUUCCCAAGAUUUCCACAAGUUCUUAAAUAGUAUGAGCCCUAACUUGUUUACUUGUACCCCUUGUAGGAGACAGAUUUGCUUGACGGUUUUGAUUUCAAAAAUUGGCUUGUGGCUAUGCAGAGGUAGGAGGGGCAUACGAUAAAGUUGUUCACGAGUCGUCGACUCGUUAUUGAGGAAUGCUUUCAAAGGAUUGGUUGUUGGUAUGAUGAAUCUUAUUGUGCCUUCCUUCUUAGAACCUUUGCUCAAGUGGUUAUCGAUCAUGUAGCUAGAUACUCCAAGGAGUUUGAUUUCGUGAAAUAUGCAACAAUAGAAGAAGUUAGAUCAUGGUAAGGUGAAAAAAUAUUGUAGAUUGCUUCAUGUUUGAAUAAUAGAAGUUGUUGAAUGUCAACUACAUAACCUACUGACAAUCGAAAUUUAAUUUUGGUCAGCAUCUUACAAGGAAAUUCUUAAACUAAUGUACUUCUGGAUGCGGGAGUGGUUUGCUUACUUCCUCUCAAGAUCUAAUACUACUGAAUAGUUAAUUUAUAACUAUUCAAUCGUGUUACAGUACAUCCAUUAAAUGAUACGAUCAUUUCUUAUGUUUUGUUCAAUAUCAUAGGUAAUGGAAAUAUGGAUCGAGGAUUCAAAUGUUCAUCAUCCAGAUAGUAUGUUGGGAUAUUCAUGGGCAGAUUUAUAUUUAAUGACAACAUACCAGACAAAAGGUGUUGGGGAUAUUAAACACAACUUAGAGAUCUAAAGACUUAAGAGAAGGCAGCCGCUGCUCACAAUGUGUUGGGGAUAUUUGUUAGAGUUCCAAAGAUGUUUGUUAUGAAUUCUGAGUUUGGAGAUUUGUGUAUACAUGGAUACUUUUCAAUAAGAGAAGACAACAGAAAAGGCAGCUGCUCUGAGCUUUGGAAGAAUAGCGUGAAUAUUGUUUAGUGUGUUUGGUAGCAUAAGAAUUAUGUAUUGGUUUUAGUUUUAGCUAUCUAAUUAGAUACUUGUUAUGUUAGUGCCUCUUCGAAAGCUGAUAAGAUUUUAGAGGUUUUCUAAUUCUUUUUUCUUGGUUAUUUUUUUAUUGAUACUGACUUUGUAAUUUUUCUCAAAUUUGAAAUAAUAGAAAAUAUUUCGUUUCAA